GCCUAACACAUGCAAGUCGAGCGAGGAGAUCCUUCGGGAUGAUCCUAGCGGCGGACGGGUGAGUAACACGUGGGCAACCUGCCUCAUAGAGAGGAAUAGCCUUCCGAAAGGGAGAUUAAUACCUCAUAACAUUGCAGUUUCGCAUGGAACAGCAAUUAAAGGAGUAAUCCGCUAUGAGAUGGGCCCGCGGCGCAUUAGCUAGUUGGUGAGGUAAUGGCUCACCAAGGCGACGAUGCGUAGCCGACCUGAGAGGGUGAUCGGCCACAUUGGGACUGAGACACGGCCCAGACUCCUACGGGAGGCAGCAGUGGGGAAUAUUGCACAAUGGGGGAAACCCUGAUGCAAGCAACGCCGCGUGAGUGAUGACGGCCUUCGGGUUGUAAAGCUCUGUCUUCAGGGACGAUAAUGACGGUACCUGAGGAGGAAGCCACGGCUAACUACGUGCCAGCCGCAGC
rnacentral:rRNA from 1 species